GGGUGGGGUGGUUUGGCAGCUGUAUUCCCAAUAAACCAAUAAACCAAAGAACUUGAGGCGACAAGCAGGAAAAGGGUGUCUUCCUGGUCAUUUGGAUAAGUCAAAUUUCACUGAAGAAAGGAAGAGUAACUGCUUGCUGUGCUAAUAAGUGAAUAAAGAUGAGGAAAGGCGUCAUACAAAUUGUUAAAGAAAGGUAAGAACACACACAGGGAUUAAAUCACCUGAGAAGGCAUCAACAACACUGAUUGUUUUUAAUGGACACAUGAGGAGGCAUGUUUCUGUUUUCCAAGUAAGUAUCUGGAAGGAAAAGUUCAGUGCAGCAGUAGGAGUUGUUAUUACAGAUUGAUUUAUGGAUGCAGGGGAGGAUGUACUUAAGGAUCUCUGUUUGCUUCCUGUUGGCAGCUUCAUAUGAUGCAGUCCAUUAAUUUUUGAAGGCUCCAGUCCUGUUGGCUUGAAAGUAUCUUGGUUUUUUCAUGUUGAUUGGUAAAGCUUUUCAUGCCUGGGCUUGGUCUUGACUCCUUUAGGGGCUCAUUAUCUGUCUUUGGGGCGUCUCCUCUUGGGGAUAUCUUUUGGAAUACAGGAGAAGCCUUGGUGGCUUCAGUAAAGGACCAAAAGACAUUUAAUCUUUGUUUGAGAGCUCAAAUGCCAGAGAAGCUACCACAGGCCUUAUUU